rnacentral:rRNA from 1 species
GACAGAGGGGGCAAGCGUUGCUCGGAAUUACUGGGCGUAAAGGGCGCGUAGGCGGGAUGGCAAGUCGGUCGUGAAAUCCCUCGGCUCAACCGGGGAACUGCGUCUGAUACUGGGUGGCUUGAAUCCGGGAGAGGGAUGCGGAAUUCCAGGUGUAGCGGUGAAAUGCGUAGAUAUCUGGAGGAACACCGGUGGCGAAGGCGGCAUCCUGGACCGGCAUUGACGCUGAGGCGCGAAAGCCAGGGGAGCAAACGGG